GUUUCAAGCAUACCGAGUGAGCAGCAAAUACAAUGAAUGCUGACAAAGAUGGACAAGCCUUUGCAAUUACGACGAGUCUUCAUAAAAUCAACGACGAGGACAAGACAAAAGUUGGUCCGGCCCGUGCAAAGAGUUAUUAACGGGGAUGGGGAUUUCACGAUCAUUUCUUGUAAAAUGUUGGACACGGCAACAUAUUUCAUCUGAUGGGACGACAUUGGGAAGAGACAUUCUUGAGUCGUGUAAUGGAUACUGUUAUCGUUUCUGGUCAACUGGAUAUCAUCAAGUGCACAGAUUUCGCGUUUGUAUCAAAAGGACACUCAAACCUAUCAUAAAAGGAUGGACAACAAGUUGAUUCUGUUUCGCCCCUUUAAGCAAAAAAAGUGUAAUUUGGCACGCGGGUUAUCACGUUACAUUCACGUCACACUUUGGCAAUGAUUAUUUCCUCCAUAACAAUAUCUUCAAAAUACACUUAACCUAAUGUAACUGGAUACUUGAGUGGAUAUAUAAAAUAGGAAUUUUAACUCUGCUGUGUUAGCAAUUAUUUUGAAUGCGCAGUUUAAAAGUACUUAAAACGCGUCUUAGACACUGGAAAAUAAAAAUUCAUUAAUCACCCGA